GAAAAAUGCCCAAAAUCUCAUUAAUUUAAGUAUGAGGCUGCAGCUACAUUUUGCACAGAGGAGAGAGGUAUUAAUUAGGGUUCUUAAGGGUGGUUGCCCCUCUCUCUUCUGUCAACAAAGCUGCAGCCGAUGAUUUUAAAAUAUUCUUUUUUUAAUUGCUUUCAGCAAGCAUGUGAAAAAAUAGAUCCAACAACCCUUGUAAUUGAUGAUGAUAGAGACGAUGAUAAUAAUAAUUGAGGCUGUGAUGAUGAAUUUUAUAAAAAUCGAAAAGAUCAAAUUUUGAGCGAACCCGCAUCUUGGCGUGGCGAAAUCAGAGCGUCUCUCUUUGAGUUGAGACGACUGGUUAUUGCAGCCAUGGCGGGAUUUGCCUUUUGGUUUUUAUGCUGAUGAUUUAAGGCGAAUCUGAGCUUCUGUUACUUGUAAACUGAUUUUUCUUUUUUUCUUUUUUUCUAUUAUUUGAUUGAUUAUGUUUUUCCAGAUCUUGAUUUGUACGAAGUACAGACCUACCAAAAGAGAGAGAAGGAGAGGGGCUGAAUUGGAAUUUUCCUACUUGAAAAAUUAUAGCAGAUGUUUCUUGAAUAUAUAUAUAUAUUUUUUUUGUCCUUGUGUUUUUGAUUCUUGAAAUUGCAAGCUCUCCUAUGUUUCAGCCAUUUUAUGUGUUUGAUAUGCAAAUUUUCGUG
rnacentral:lncRNA from 1 species